AAUGGAGAUAAAAAGAGAAUAAAAAAAGAACAUUUUAUAAUACCUUUUCAAUUCUUUUAUGCGUACUUCAUAUUUAAAUUGUGAUUUUUUUCCCCUUCUAAAUCAGGAAAAAAAGCCUCCCACCCACAAUAUUCUAGGGAGAGAGAUGAAUAUUCACCAUCUAACUUCUGAAAUUGACAUUUAUUUUGUGAUUCAAGAAGAAAAGGUGGUAGGAAUAAAUAAGAGGUGCAACACCAACCUCAUUCUCCUCUCUCCCUCCAGGAAAACAAUUAUCUUGGUCCAACCCGCAUCAGAAGCCCUUGAUGCAGUUGAGACCCACAACUGAUACCAGCCUCCUGGG
rnacentral:lncRNA from 1 species